CCUACGGGUGGCAGCAGUGAGGAAUAUUGGUCAAUGGGAGAGAUCCUGAACCAGCCAAGUCGCGUGAGGGAAGACGGCCCUAUGGGUUGUAAACCUCUUUUGUCGGAGAGCAAAACGCAGGUCGUGUCCCGCUCUGCGUGUAUCCGAAGAAAAAGCAUCGGCUAACUCCGUGCCAGCAGCCGCGGUAAUACGGAGGAUGCGAGCGUUAUCCGGAUUUAUUGGGUUUAAAGGGUGCGUAGGCGGUCCGCUAAGUCAGCGGUAAAAUUGCGGGGCUCAACCCCGUCGAGCCGUUGAAACUGGCAGACUUGAGUGGGCGAGGGGUAGGCGGAAUGCGCGGUGUAGCGGUGAAAUGCAUAGAUAUCGCGCAGAACUCCGAUUGAGAAGGCAGCGUACCGGCGCGAGACUGACGCUGAGGCACGAAAGCGUGGGGAUCGAACAGGAUUAGAUACCCUUGUAGUC
rnacentral:rRNA from 1 species